GCCUGGGUGGCUCAGUUGGUUGAGUGUCUGACUCUUGAUUUUGGUUCAGGUCAUGAUUUUUAGGUCGUGGGAUCAAGCCCCUUCUCAGGCC
rnacentral:tRNA from 1 species